rnacentral:SRP_RNA from 1 species
UUGGGGACUAGCCUGGGUGGAUCGGCGUCACCUAUAACCAGAAAUCGUCGGAAUGCUGGAGGCGAAGUUUGAGGAAGGCCGGUACAUGUUAUCUGUAUCUGCCGUGUUCCUGACGAAGAAACCCUGUCCUGUGAGGUCGAUGGCCAGGUAUCAGACCUUCGGAGGGAGGAACGACCUGUUAUCGCGGGGACCAGUCCAGGCCCGGAAGGGAGCAGACUUACCGUGAACAUCCGGCGCCCAUGGGGGUGCGGGGUGGAGAAGGGAACCUCUGGAAAGGAUGAUAAUGGCAGGUCAACCGAUAACGUGUCCCCAA